AUUGAACGCUGGCGGCAGGCCUAACACAUGCAAGUCGAGCGGAUGAAGGGAGCUUGCUCCUGGAUUCAGCGGCGGACGGGUGAGUAAUGCCUAGGAAUCUGCCUGGUAGUGGGGGAUAACGUCCGGAAACGGGCGCUAAUACCGCAUACGUCCUGAGGGAGAAAGUGGGGGAUCUUCGGACCUCACGCUAUCAGAUGAACCUAGGUCGGAUUAGCUAGUUGGUGGGGUAAAGGCCUACCAAGGCGACGAUCCGUAACUGGUCUGAGAGGAUGAUCAGUCACACUGGAACUGAGACACGGUCCAGACUCCUACGGGAGGCAGCAGUGGGGAAUCUUGGACAAUGGGCGAAAGCCUGAUCCAGCCAUGCCGCGUGUGUGAAGAAGGUCUUCGGAUUGUAAAGCACUUUAAGUUGGGAGGAAGGGCAGUAAGUUAAUACCUUGCUGUUUUGACGUUACCAACAGAAUAAGCACCGGCUAACUUCGUG
rnacentral:rRNA from 1 species